CACAAACACCCGCCCGAGAACUACGAGCACAAACGCUUAAAACUCUAAGGACUUGGCGGUGCCCUAAACCCACCUAGAGGAGCCUGUUCUAUAAUCGAUAAUCCACGAUACACCCGACCACUUCUUGCCAAUAACAGCCUACAUACCGCCGUCGCCAGCCCACCUCAAAUGAGAGCACAACAGUGAGCCCAAAAGCCUACCCCGCUAAUAAGACAGGUCAAGGUAUAGCCCAUGAAGUGGAAGAAAUGGGCUACAUUUUCUAAAAUAGAACAUACCCCCAACGAAAAGAGGCCUGAAACCUGCCUCUAACAAGGCGGAUUUAGCAGUAAAGAGGAACA
rnacentral:rRNA from 1 species